rnacentral:rRNA from 1 species
GAUGGGUCUUACCGAGUUAUACACUCAUCAGCCCUGCUGAACAUACCUAAAACGUUGCUUCGGCGGGAACAGACGGCCCUGUAACAACGGGCCGCCCCCGCCAGAGGACCCCUAACUCUGUUUUUAUAAUGUUUUUCUGAGUAAACAAGCAAAUAAAUUAAAACUUUCAACAACGGAUCUCUUGGCUCUGGCAUCGAUGAAGAACGCAGCGAAAUGCGAUAAGUAAUGUGAAUUGCAGAAUUCAGUGAAUCAUCGAAUCUUUGAACGCACAUUGCGCCCGCCAGUAUUCUGGCGGGCAUGCCUGUUCGAGCGUCAUUACAACCCUCAGGCCCCCGGGCCUGGCGUUGGGGAUCGGCGGAAGCCCCCUGUGGGCACACGCCGUCCCUCAAAUACAGUGGCGGUCCCGCCGCAGCUUCCAUUGCGUAGUAGCUAACACCUCGCAACUGGAGAGCGGCGCGGCCAUGCCGUAAAACACCCAACUUCUGAAUGUUGACCUCGAAUCAGGUAGGAAUACCCGCUGAACUUAAGCAUAUCAUAGAGCAGGAGGAGA